ACGGAGAAUCGCUGAAGAGACGAAGCGUCGGGCACGAGGACAAGCGCCUUGCAGUUGUCACGUGGUGUGAAAAUCGGGCGCGAGACCACGCCGGCAAGGGCCUGGCACCGGGGCAGCGGGCGAAGUGGGCGCUCGGAUAACGCCCGCCUCGCACGCCCAAGGCCCCGCGCGGCAGCAACGUGGCGAUGGGGACCCGCAGGUACGGCCUGAGGGCAGAGUGAGGACAGACAGCUCCCUGACCAGCCUCACCAGAGCACGGGGUCGCUCAGGUACAAACAGACAAACGUAAGGGAGAUGGUAAGACUGGAGCUCAGAAAGACUGGCUGACGCGAUGUAGGUGGGACUCUGACUGCAUUCUGUCUUUGCUUGCGCG